AUGACUGAAGCCACCAGUUUGUCAAGCCGGUUGAGAUCCGUCUUCAUCCCCAAUUUCCUGAGCUUGCUGGCUGUGCUCUCCAUUGCGGCAUGCACAAACACCAGAUCGAAUUCGGACGCGUCCUGGACGUUCCCCUCUGCAAAUCCCAGCAGAGUGAACGCCCGGUCGAUUAUUCUAGUGUCCUUAGAACUGCUGCCUGAACCGGACUGCGCGGCGAAAUCUUCAGUUCCGAAAACGUGGAAACCAAGAUUCGCCGCGAAUGAGCUAACACCGGGGCAAUUGGUGACCAUAGCAGCUCUCAGCCCCAUGAACCUGGAUUUUCAGCAGCGAGUCAGCCCUCACAGUUACAGUGGAUACACUAACAGUAACCAAAGCAAAAGAUCACACACAUCGAACCUCUCGGAUAGCUUGGGGACUACUAGCUCCUGCGGAUCCACCCGGGCAACUUCCCCAUCCUAA
rnacentral:rRNA from 1 species